rnacentral:rRNA from 1 species
GGUUGAUCCUGCCGGACCUGACUGCUAUCGGAUUGGUACUAAGCCAUGCGAGUCAUUGUAGCAAUACAAGGCGGACGGCUCAGUAACACGUAGUCAACCUAACCUAUGGACGUGGAUAACCUCGGGAAACUGAGAAUAAACCACGAUAGAUCAUAAUGCCUGGAAUGGCUUAUGGUUCAAACAAUUUAUUGCCGUAGGAUGGGACUGCGGCCUAUCAGCUUGUUGGUGAGGUAAUGGCCCACCAAGGCUAUAACAGGUACGGGCUCUGAGAGGAGAAGCCCGGAGAUGGGUACUGAGACACGGACCCAGGCCCUAUGGGGCGCAGCAGGCGAGAAACCUUAGCAAUGUGCGAAAGCACGACUAGGUUAAUCCGAGUGGUUCCUGCUAAAGGAACCUUUUGUCAGUCGUAAAACCACAGACGAAUAAGGGGUGGGCAAGUCUGGUGUCAGCCGCCGCGGUAAUACCAGCACCUCGAGUGGUCAGGAGGUUUAUUGGGCCUAAAGCAUCCGUAGCCGGCUACGCAAGUCUUCGGUUAAAUCCAACUGCUCAACAGAUGGGCUGCCGGAGAUACUACAUAGCUAGGGAGCGGGAGAGGCAGACGGUAUUCGGUGGGUAGGGGUAAAAUCCACUGAUCCAUCGAGGACCACCAGUGGCGAAGGCGGUCUGCCAGAACGCGUUCGACGGUGAGGGAUGAAAGCUGGGGGAGCAAACCGGAUUAGAUACCCGGGUAGUCCCAGCUGUAAACGAUGCAAACUCGGUGAUGCGUUGGCUUAUGGCCAACGCAGUGCCGCAGGAAGCCGUUAAGUUUGCCGCCUGGGAAGUACGGACGCAAGUCUGAAACUUAAAGGAAUUGGCGGGGGAGCACCNACAAGGGUGAAGCCUGCGGUUCAAUUGGA